GGUGAGGAAGGAGACACUACUAGAGCCUUCUGAGCUUAGAUUCUUUCAAAAUCACUCUUCACAGAUGGCAGCACUAGAUUAUCUUGUUUCACUGGAGAGUGAUAUCUUUGUUCCAACAUAUGAUGGAAACAUGGCUAAAGUUGUCGAAGGACAUCGCAGACAUCUUGGAUUCAAGAAAACGUUUUUGGUGGACAGAAAGCUCCUCGUAGAUUUGAUUGACCAG
rnacentral:misc_RNA from 1 species